AGGAUCAUUAACGAAUGCGAAACAAUUCGCGGUAAUUUGACCGUGGCNGCCUCGGUGGCCACGGGAAGUCCACACCCGUGCACACAGCGUGAGUGCCUCCCGACAGGGGAGGCGUUCCGCUCCCCUUUACACUUAACAACGCCUGUAACGAAGCAUGUCUAACGGAGCUCUACGGAGUGCCAAUACUAUAAUACAACUUUCAACAACGGAUCUCUUGGCUUUCGCAUCGAUGAANAACGCCGCGAAAGUGCGAAACGUAAUGUGAAUUGCAGAAUUCAGUGAAUCAUCGAAUCUUUGAACGCAUCUUGCGCUCCUUGGUAUUCCGAGGAGCAUGCCUGUUUGAGUGUCGUGAUUAAAUCAAUCNGCCCCCGGAGGCCUUCACUGAAGUCCACGGUCGGUGUGGGACUUUGGACGCUGCCCUCCUUACUAUGAAGGGCUCGUCUCGAAAUGCAUUAGCUGUUUCCUCGUACGCAGACAACGGUGUGAUAAUAAAACUCGCUAGCGUCUGUGUCACAUGGGGAUGGCUUCCAAAUCGUCGGUCUUUGGGACUNCCCGNAGACGUAACACCCCCCUAGAGUAUGACCUCAAAUCAGGCAGGACUACCCGCUGAACUUAAGCAUAUCAAUAAGCGGAGGAAAAGAAACUAACAAGGAUUCCCCUAGUAACGGCGAGUGAAGCGGGAAGAGCUCAAAUUUGUAAUCUGACGGUCUCAGGCCGUCCGAGUUGUAGUCUGGAGAAGCGUUUUCCGUGCCGGACCGUGUACAAGUCCCUUGGAACAGGGCGUCGUAGAGGGUGAGAAUCCCGUCUCUGACACGGACCGCCGGUGCUCUGUGAUGCGCUCUCGAAGAGUCGAGUUGUUUGGGAAUGCAGCUCAAAAUGGGUGGUAAAUUCCAUCUAAAGCUAAAUAUUGGCGAAAGACCGAUAGCGAACAAGUACCGUGAGGGAAAGAUGAAAAGCACUUUGGAAAGAGAGUUAAACAGUACGUGAAAUUGUUGAAAGGGAAACGCUUCAAGUCAGUCGCGUCUUCCGAGACUCAGCCGGGUUUUUAACCCGGUGCACUUCUCGGUGUGACGGGCCAGCAUCGAUUUUGACCGUCGGAGAAAGGCUCUGGGAAUGUGGCACCUCCGGGUGUGUUAUAGCCCUCUGUCGUAUGCGACGGUCGGNNUCGAGGACCGCAGCGCGCCCUUCACCGGGCCGGGGUUCGCCCACGUAACGCGC
rnacentral:rRNA from 1 species